rnacentral:rRNA from 1 species
AGUGAACGCUGGCGGUAGGCCUAACACAUGCAAGUCGAACGGCAGCACAGUAAGAGCUUGCUCUUACGGGUGGCGAGUGGCGGACGGGUGAGGAAUACAUCGGAAUCUACUUUUUCGUGGGGGAUAACGUAGGGAAACUUACGCUAAUACCGCAUACGACCUACGGGUGAAAGCAGGGGAUCUUCGGACCUUGCGCGAUUGAAUGAGCCGAUGUCGGAUUAGCUAGUUGGCGGGGUAAAGGCCCACCAAGGCGACGAUCCGUAGCUGGUCUGAGAGGAUGAUCAGCCAAACUGGAACUGAGACACGGUCAGGCCUCCUACGGGAGGCAGCAGUGGGGAAUAUUGGACAAUGGGCGAAAGCCUGAUCCAGCCAUACCGCGUGGGUGAAGAAGGCCUUCGGGUGGUAAAGCCCUUUUGUGGGGAAAGAAAAGCAGAAGGUUAAUACCCCGCUGUUCUGACGGUACCCAAAGAAUAAGCACCGGCUAACUUCGU